GUCCCAGCAGCAGAAAAAUGACCGAUACAGUAUUUGCUGCGACGCCUCGCCUGGCAAGGGUGUGUUUUCCAGCCUUCCUAAGAGGCACGGACCCAAGCGGCAGCGCCGGGAAGGGGAAUGGACCUUCUGUGGAUUUGUUCCAGCUCGCUGUUGAAAGCCAGCCCUGCCUUACGUGGCUCUGAAGAUAAAAUCUGCUUGGGGUGCUUUUAAGGCAGGAACUUUAGAAACUAAAGGCAGUGGUGUCUUCUCUUUUGUAUCCAAAGGGUUUAUCAGGUAAGUAACGGGGUCACAGCUACACUGCUAAGCAUGUAUCGUGUAGAAGAUCCUCGAUACGUGGCAGUGACUGCAGUACCACCAGCACAGUCUUGGUCCCUUCCUUAAUUCCAACACCUUUGCGUGGUGCUCAGGAUUGAAGGCAGGGCAUGCUGAGUUCAUACUCUACCUGUGAGCUCUGCCCUUAAU
rnacentral:lncRNA from 1 species